rnacentral:rRNA from 1 species
UAGCGUUGUUCGGAAUUACUGGGCGUAAAGGGCGUGUAGGCUGUUAGGUAAGUCAGAGGUGAAAUCCCUAAGCUCAACUUAGGAACUGCCUUUGAUACUAUCUUACUAGAGAUCGAGAGAAGUUGGCGGAAUUCCAAGUGUAGAGGUGAAAUUCGUAGAUAUUUGGAAGAACACCAGUGGCGAAAGCGGCCAACUGGCUCGUAUCUGACGCUGAGACGCGAAAGCGUGGGUAGCAAACAGGAUUAGAUACCCUGGUAGUCCACGCCGUAAACGAUGAGUAUUUGGUGCUGGGGGAUUCGACCCUUUCAGUGCCGUAGCUAACGCGAUAAAUACUCCGCCUGGGGACUACGAUCGCAAGAUUGAAACUCAAAGGAAUUGACGGGGACCCGCACAAGCGGUGGAACAUGUGGUUUAAUUCGAUGAUACGCGAAGAACCUUACCUGGGUUUGACAUGUCAGAGAAAGUUUUCCGAAAGGAAAACCCUUUAAUAAUUUAUUAUUAAACUCUGUCACAGGUGAUGCAUGGCU